AGUACUGGGCGUUCAGCCGCGUUUUGAGAAAAGAAGGGCCCCAGGGUUGGCGGGGCCGACGCUCCGCGACCGGGCGGCCGCGUGGCAUGCUGGGAAUUGUAGUUCGAUGCUUGCUUAGGGUUUCGGGAUGAAGCGCCAAAAGCCAAGGUUUGACCUCAGCCUGCCCUUGUCAGUGCCUCGGCCACAGGUGAGCCGUUAUUGGCUGCCGUUAAGGACCGUUACCAUAUCCGGAAGGGAAGGACACCCACUCAGACUGAGCGCUGUCACCCACACUCAUCUCUCCAGGACCAAGAGUGCUGUCAAUAUGAUGUCUUCUUUGCAGCUGCGGGCCAGAAGAUGUCAGAGAUAAUCGUAAUAAAGCCUUACAUGUGUUAGGUGGAUUUAAUUUCUAAAUGUUGCACUUGUUGUAGCUCAUGUGACCUUGUAAAGUAGGUAGGGAAGGGGACUUGAAGAAAAUUGAGCUUGCCAAAAAAAAAAAAAAAA